AUUGAACGCUGGCGUCAUGCUUAACACAUGCAAGUCGAGCGAGCGGCGGACGGGUGAGUAAUGUCUGGGCAACUGCCUGAUGGAGGGGGAUAACUCCUGGAAACGGUAGCUACUACCGCAUACCCUCAGAUGUGCCCAGCUGGGAUUAGCUAGUAGGUGGGGUAAUGGCGCACCUAGGCGACGCUCCCUCGCUGGUCUGAGAGGAUGACCAGCAAGACGGGAACUGAGACACGGUCCAGACGCCUACGGGAGGAAGCAGUGGGGAAUAUUGCACAAUGGGUGAAAGCCUGAUGCAGCCAUGCCGCGUGUGGGAAGAAGGCCUGCGGGUUGUAAAGCACUGUCAGCGAGGAGGCGUUACUCGCAGAAGAAGCACCGGCUAACUCCGUGCCAGCAGCCGAGGUAAUUC
rnacentral:rRNA from 1 species